UUAUCCUCUCAGAGACAUCUGAUAAAAUUGGAAUUAUAUAGAGAAAAUUGGCAUAGUGCCCUAGCAAGGAUGAUACGCACAAAUUGAGAAUAUUAUAUUUUU